UUGCCACGCUACCCAGAAAGAGGUACAACCGCUGUCCACUGCGUUCAUCUGAGGUGGACACCAUUCGCAAACUGGUGGACAGUACAGAGCUGCGCGGACAUAUCGGUGGGAAGCUGGGGGACAGCAAGGAUGCGGACAGUAUGGUUCAAGCUGCUCAUGCACUGGUAGUUCACGUGCUGCAGCCAAUGCGUGCACUGCUCGUAAACCUUGUUGCUAGGUGGGCAGCCAUUUCCGACAGUGAGCGAGCAGACAUGACAAAGGAGGUAU